AAGAGAAGAGCUUGUCAAGUUAGCUAAAGAUGACCUGCCUGACCCCAUGAACGAAAGGACACAUUUCGGAAAUGGUGCAGACAAGUCAUCCUUGGCUACCAAAUAAGACUCUUUUCA
rfam:Solanum lycopersicum cultivar Heinz 1706 chromosome 7, whole genome shotgun sequence.